GUAAGUGGAGCACAGAGAAGUGACCAUUGCAAUAUGAAAGUAUUUGGUGACAAUGACCAGGACAUUUAUUGGAAUGGUGAGGAGGAAAGACUGAUUUAUUUUGGCUUGAUAAAAUAAAAAGAUGGGAAAGGGAGGAAAUAUAAGCCCUUGAUUAUAGACACCCUGAGGUGAGUAAGUUUCAGUGUGAAAGGAAGGAGAAAUAGAAGCUAGAAAGUGCAUAUUUCCAAGAUGGUGAAAAAGUGGAGAAAGAAAUUGGUGAUGGAAGCCAGCCUUGGAGAAGCAACUAGUAGAUAAUAUCACAUGUGAAGAGUUUGAACUUUAGUGGCAGGUGCAUUUCAUUCACAAUAGCAAAAUAUAAGCAGAGUGUGGGUGCCGAUUAAGGACUUUGGAUAGAUGCAGCCAUAAGGAGAGGAGGGGGAAUUCUACCUAGGCAUGUUCUGCAGAUUGAAACUAUGUCACAGCUUCAAUGGCCGCCCCCCUUUUCAAUACUCCUGGAUGAAAAUGGGUUUUGGAAUGUAGCCGGUUUUCAGUUCCAGAUGUUUCUCAUAACCCCAAAUUAUCUUCACUUGCCAAUUUCCUCUGUCAAAUUAAUAUAGGUUGGGUAUUAUUCUAACGGUUCACUUUCUUUUUAAACCAUGUAAUUCAAGGACAUGAAGACUCUAAAAAUGAACAGUUUUUUUUACUUAAGUUUAUUGCUAAAAGUAUGAUUUCAACGGAUAAAAUGAGAAGAGAGCAGCCAUAAUAGAUGGUAGUGAUCAUUUUCUUAUUUAAAAAAUCCUCUUUUGAGCAUAGUAAGGAGCUGUGUACAUUCUGAAGUAUACUUGCUGAAAAAUUAUUACAGAAGCAUAAUAAAAUUUGUGAUUUUGAACUUCACUCCUUUCCUUUCACAAUGUCAAAAUGAUUCAUAUUUCUCUAGAAAUGUUCAGGAGGAGAAUAUUCACCUGUGUAAAUUAUAUUCCUAUGGGGAAGGGAUUACUGCUCUUACCGAAGAGUUUAUGGCAGGGUUUACUCUUUUCCAUUGACAGUAUGGGAUGAGAGAAUGGGACUUAGCUUUGUGUCCAUUUGCAUUCCAGUCACCGAAAUAAUAAUAGCUAUAUGGCACCUAGAGUAGAAAGGAUGAUUUACAGUAAGGGCAUUCUCUCAAAACUUAAUAGUUUCCACUAUAAAAACUAAAGACAGUUCUUCCUAGUUUCACUGUUUCAGAGCACUGUUAUUAGUUGACUCAAAAGUUUAAAUAGCUUUUGUUGUAAAAUAAACAAUUGGUAUAUGACAUUCUAUGAGAGGGAUGGUCUGAGAAUGGUUUAUUGUGACAAUGCAAUCACUUUCAGGUAUUAAAUUUCAGGAUGAAAACUAUAAAUCAUUCGCUUUCCCAGAGUGAAGUUUGACUUAUUCCUGUGGCCAACAUGGCUUAUGGACACCAAGGACAAAUAAGUCAGAAUAACUUGAUGGAAAAGACCUUCAGCGAUAACUACAUAGUUUUCAUCUCUUGUUAUAUAAUAAAAGCUACCACCUGCAGUUCUCACAGCAGUAGAAUUCCAAAUCAGCCGCUGCAAAAUCAGCAACAGCAGCUGUAACCUGGUUUUUAGAGAAGUUGAAAUCAAUUUUCACAGGUAACUUAAAGUUUAUACAAAUGCAGAUUGUGUUCGCCAGGGUUUAACAUUUGUAUAAUAGUCAUAAAGAUAAUAGUACGAUAAAGAGUUAUUCUUACUGAAUUUCAAUACACAGUCUCUUCUUUUCUGUUAUGGUCUUCAAAGGUAUUAUUUAAGCUUAAUUACAUUUAUGAAAACAAAUUAAUAAAAAUGUCAAAGUUGGGAUUUAAAGAGGUAUACACUUACUAAAAUAAGGUAUGUUUCUUAAACAAAAUGUAUUCUAUUUUAAUCAUUAAUUUAAGACUUUCAGUUCUUCAUGAAUCAGUGACCCAUCAAUAGUGUAUCUUUUACUGUAAGUUAAUUUCAAUCCUAGAUUUGUAUACAAUUAAAGUAACAUAUUUAUCUUAAUCUUUUAAGUUUUUAUAUAUCAUCCAGAAAAAUGAGAUAUCUAUAAUAGUCUUUCAGUUCUGUAAACUUUUCUCUUUUUUCUUUCUUUAAUUUUUUUUUUACUUUUUAUUUUUGGUAACAAUGGUUUUACAUAUUUAUGUGGUAGAUGUACCAUUUUGAUACAAGCAUAAAAUGUGUAAUAAUAAAAUCUAGGUAAUUGGGAUAUUCAUUACAUAAAAUAUUUAUAAUUUAUGUGUGUUGGGAACAUUCCAAAUCUCUUCUUCUAGUUAUUUUUAAAUUUACAAUAAAUUAUUAUUAACUGUAGUCACCCUAUUGUGCUACUGAACACUAGACCUUAUUCUAUUAACCAUCCCCUCUUUAUAACCCCCCGCAAACCCACUACCCUUCCCAACCUCUGGUAACUGUCAUUCUACUCUCUGUCUUUAUGAGAUCAGUUUUCUUUAGUUCCCAUAUAUAAGUGAAAACAUGCAACAUUUAUCUUUCUGUGCCUGGCUUAUUUCACUGAACAUAGUAUCCUCCAGUUCCAUCCAUGUUGUUAUAAUUAUCAUGAUUUCAUUCUUUUGUGUGACUGAAUAAUAAUCCAUUGUGUAUAUAUACCACAUUUUCUGUAUUCAUUCAUUUGUUGUUUGACACAGUUUGAUUUCAUAUCUUGGCUAUGGCAAAUAGUGCUGCAAUAAACAUGGGUGUGCCAACAUCUCUCUCCAAUAGAUGUAUUUCCUUUAUUUUGAAUAAAUACCCAGUAGUGAGAUUGCUGGAUUAUAUUGUAGUUCUAUUUUUAGUUUUUUAAGGAACCUCCUUACUGCUUUCCAUAGUGACUAUACUAAUUUACAUCCCACCGAUAGUGUAUGAGUGUUCCUCCUUCUCCACCUCCUUACCACCAUUUAUUUUCUGUCUUUUUGUAUUUUUGUUAUCCCAUUUGUCCAUUUUGGUUUUCAUUGCCUGUGCUUUUGAGGUCUUAUUCAACAAAUUUUGCCCAGACUAAUGUACUCAAAUAUUUUCCCUAUGUUUUCUUCUAGUAGUUUCAGGUCUUACAUUUAAGUCUUUAAUACAUUUAGAUUUGUUUUUGCAUAUGGUAAGAGAGAGGGUACUAAUUUCAUUCUUCUGCAUAUGGUUAUCUAGUUUUUCAAGCAUCAAUUAUUGAAAAGACUGUCCUUGCUGCAGUGUAUGUUUUUGGUACUUUGUCAAAAAUGAAUUGACUGUAAAUGUGUGGAUUGAUUUGUAGGUUAUCUAUUAUGUUCUAUGUGUCUGUUUUUAUGGCAGUACCAUGCUGAUUUUAAUACUAUAGCUUUGUAGUAUAAUUUGAAGUCAGAUACUGUGCUUCUUCCAGCUUUGUUCUCUUUGUUCAGAAUUGUUGUAGGUAUUCCAGGUCGUUUGUGGUUCCAUAUACAUUUUAGAAUUUUUUUUUAUUUCUGUGAAGAAUUUCAUUAGUACUUUGACACAUACUGUAUUGAAUCUGUAGAUAAUGUUAGGCAGUAUAGACAUCUUAAUAAUAUUGAUUUUUCUAAUUCAUGAUUAUGAAAUAUCUUUCCAUUUUUGUGUCUUCAAUUUACUCCCUUGAUGUUUUAUAGCAUUUUUAUCAACAAAAAUUGUGUAUGUUUAUAAUAUACAGCAUGAUGUUUUGAAAUAUGUAUAUAUUGUAGAAUGGGUAAAUCGAGCUAACUAACAUAUGUAUUCCCUCAUAUGUAUAUAUAUUUGUGUGUGUGUGUAUGGCGAGAACACAUAAAAUCUAUUUUCAAGUUAUUUACAUGUGGGUGGAUUAUCGUUGUACAUUGGCUUAUAACUUAAUUUGUUGUUAAGUGACAAAAGUGGAUGGAUAGUAUGCUUCCUUUUAUGUGGAAGAGGGAACUUGGGGAGCUUAGGGAGUGCACACGCUGGAGGGACUUUUUAUUUUAGCAAUGCUUCUUGCAGUACAUUUAUAACUCACGUAUAGAAAACUUUCACAAUUUUUCAUAAGCAUUUUGCAAUUAUGAUUAAGUGGAUUUUUCAAAGCAAUACAAAUAGAAGGCCAAGGAAGGUGGCUUAUGUCUAUAAUCCCAGCACUUUGGGAGGCCAAGAUGGGCUGAUCACCUGAAGUCAGGGGUUCAAGACCAGCCUGGCCAACGUGGUGAAAUUCUGUCUCUACUAAAAAUACAAAAAUUAGCCAGACACGGUAGCACACAUAUGUAAUCCAAGCUACUCUGGAGGCUGAGGCAGGAGAAUUAUUUGAACCUGAGAGUG
rnacentral:lncRNA from 1 species